rnacentral:rRNA from 1 species
GACGAACGCUGGCGGCGUGCUUAGCACAUGCAAGUCGAACGGAAAGGCCCUGCUUUUGUGGGGUGCUCGAGUGGCGAACGGGUGAGUAACACGUGAGUAACCUGCCCUUGACUUUGGGAUAACUUCAGGAAACUGGGGCUAAUACCGGAUAGGAGCUCCUGCUGCAUGGUGGGGGUUGGAAAGUUUCGGCGGUUGGGGAUGGACUCGCGGCUUAUCAGCUUGUUGGUGGGGUAGUGGCUUACCAAGGCUUUGACGGGUAGCCGGCCUGAGAGGGUGACCGGCCAGAUUGGGACUGAGAUACGGCCCAGACGCCUACGGGAGGCAGCAGUGGGGAAUAUUGCACAAUGGGCGGAAGCCUGAUGCAGCAACGCCGCGUGCGGGAUGACGGCCUUCGGGUUGUAAACCGCGUUCGCCUGUGACGAAGCGUGAGUGACGGUAAUGGGUAAAGAAGCACCGGCUAACUACGUG